rnacentral:misc_RNA from 1 species
GAAAUGCGAUAAGUAGUGUGAAUUGCAGAAUUCAGUGAAUCAUCGAAUCUUUGAACGCACAUUGCGCCCUUUGGUAUUCCUUAGGGCAUGCCUGUUCGAGCGUCAUUUAAACCUUCAAGCUCAGCUUGGUGUUGGGUGACUGUCCGCCGCCCCCGGGCGCGUGGACUCGCCUCAAAAUUAUUGGCGGCCGGUACAUUGGCUUCGAGCGCAGCAGAAACGCGAACUCGGGCCCGUCGUAUUGGCUCCCAGAAGCUAUCUUCACAAUUUUGACCUCGGAUCAGGUAGGGAUACCCGCUGAACUUAA